GCUCGGGUGGCCUAGUGGUUAGAGCGUCCGCCUCUGAUGCAGGAGAUCACGAAUUCGAACCCUUGCCGAGGCA